UACGUAGGGCGCAAGCGUUGUCCGGAAUUAUUGGGCGUAAAGAGCUCGUAGGCGGUUUGUCGCGUCUGCUGUGAAAACCUAAGGCUCAACCUUGGGCUUGCAGUGGGUGCGGGCAGACUAGAGUGCGGUAGGGGUGACUGGAAUUCCUGGUGUAGCGGUGGAAUGCGCAGAUAUCAGGAGGAACACCGAUAGGCGAAGGCAGGUC
rnacentral:rRNA from 1 species